rnacentral:sRNA from 1 species
UGGAGGACCUUUUUAUAGCCAGAAUCCAGUAUCUCUUGCUCCUCCUCCUCCCUCCAUCCUACAGGUAACUCCUCAGUUACCUUUAAUGGGAUUUGUGGCCAGAGUCCAAGAAAAUAUUUCAGAUACACCACCUCCACCGCCACCUGUGGAAGAACCAGUCUUUGAUGAGUCUCCCCCACCUCCUCCACCCCCAGAAGAUUACGAAGAGGAGGAAGCUGCUGUGGUUGAGUAUAGUGAUCCUUAUGCUGAAGAGGACCCACCGUGGGCUCCACGUUCUUACUUGGAAAAGGUUGUGGCAAUUUAUGACUAUACAAAAGACAAGGAAGAUGAGCUGUCCUUUCAGGAAGGAGCCAUUAUUUAUGUCAUCAAGAAGAAUGACGAUGUACAGCCAAGUCAACUGCACAGACUUGAAGCAGCCAAGCUGGGUGAGAGCUGCAGAGCAGAGGGCAGUGAAAGAAGGCACAGUACUAGUGUCAUCCGGCAGUAGAUGCUUUCCAUGAAUACACCAGAGAAAAAGAGCUACAGAAAUACAGUCUAGGAAAAGCUACAUCCCAACAAAAACCCAAAUUAAAGAAAACCCACUAGGGAGUAAAACA